rnacentral:rRNA from 1 species
CCUACGGGGUGCAGCAGUGGGGAAUAUUGCACAAUGGGGGAAACCCUGAUGCAGCGACGCCGCGUGAGCGAUGAAGUAUUUCGGUACGUAAAGCUCUAUCAGCAGGGAAGAAAAUGACGGUACCUGACUAAGAAGCCCCGGCUAACUACGAGCCAGCAGCCGAGGUAAUACGUAGGGGGCAAGCGUUAUCCGGAUUUACUGGGUGAAAAGGGAGCGUAGACGGCUGUGCAAGCCAGAUGUGAAAGCCCGGGGCUCAACCCCGGGACUGCAUUUGGAACUGGGUGGCUGGAGUGUAGGAGAGGCAGGCGGAAUUCCUAGUGUAGCGGUGAAAUGCGUAGAUAUAAGGAGGAACACCAGUGGCGAAGGCGGCCUGCUGGACGGUGACUGACGUUGAGGCUCGAAAGCGUGGGGAGCAAACAGGAUUAGAUACCCUAGUAGUC